UCCACCAUAAGUAAAUGGUAUACUGCACCUUUGAUAGGGGUGACUUCCAAGUUCAACUCUUGGUGGUGGAACCA
rnacentral:tRNA from 1 species